AUACGGAGGAUCCGAGCGUUAUCCGGAUUUAUUGGGUUUAAAGGGAGCGUAGGCGGACGCUUAAGUCAGUUGUGAAAGUUUGCGGCUCAACCGUAAAAUUGCAGUUGAUACUGGGUGUCUUGAGUACAGUAGAGGCAGGCGGAAGUUGGUGGGUGGCGGUGGAAUGCUUAGAUAUCACGAAGAACUCCGAUUGCGAAGGCAGCCUGCUGGACUGUAACUGACGCUGAUGCUCGAAAGUGUGGGGAUCGAACAGGAUUAGAUACCCUGGUAGUCCGCACAGUAAACGAUGAAUACUUGUUUUCGGCGAUAUAAUGUCGGAGGCAAAGCGAAAGCGAUAAGUAUUCCACCUGGGGAGUACGCCGGCAACGGUGAAACUCAAAUGAAUUGGCGGGG
rnacentral:rRNA from 1 species